UCCGUAGGUGAACCUGCGGAAGGAUCAUUAUUA
rnacentral:rRNA from 2 species